rnacentral:rRNA from 1 species
UGGGGAAUUUUGCGCAAUGGGGGCAACCCUGACGCAGCAACGCCGCGUGAGUGAUGAAGGCCCUUGGGUCGUAAAGCUCUGUCAGAGGGAACGAAGUGCAGGGGGCUAAUAUCCCUUCUGUUUGACGGUACCCUCAAAGGAAGCACCGGCUAACUCCGUGCCAGCAGCCGCGGUAAUACGGAGGGUGCGAGCGUUGUUCGGAUUUAUUGGGCGUAAAGGGCGUGUAGGCGGUUUCAUAAGUCUGAUGUGAAAGCCCCGGGCUCAACCUGGGAAGGGCAUUGGAAACUGUGGGACUUGAGUACGGGAGAGGGCAGUGGAAUUCCCAGUGUAGGAGUGAAAUCCGUAGAUAUUGGGAGGAACACCGGUGGCGAAGGCGGCUGCCUGGACCGAUACUGACGCU